rnacentral:rRNA from 1 species
AACGAACGCUGGCGGCAUGCCUAACACAUGCAAGUCGAACGAGACCUUCGGGUCUAGUGGCGCACGGGUGCGUAACGCGUGGGAACCUGCCCUUAGGUUCGGAAUAACUCCCCGAAAGGGGUGCUAAUACCGGAUAAUGUCUUCGGACCAAAGAUUUAUCGCCUUUGGAUGGGCCCGCGUUGGAUUAGCUAGUUGGUAGGGUAAAAGCCUACCAAGGCGACGAUCCAUAGCUGGUCUGAGAGGAUGAUCAGCCACACUGGGACUGAGACACGGCCCAGACUCCUACGGGAGGCAGCAGUAGUGAAUAUUGGACAAUGGGCGAAAGCCUGAUCCAGCAAUGCCGCGUGAGUGAUGAAGGCCUUAGGGUUGUAAAGCUCUUUUACCCGGGAUGAUAAUGACAGUACCGGGAGAAUAAGCUCCGGCUAACUCCGU